GGCUCUCGCAUCGAUGAAGAACGUAGCGAAAUGCGAUACUUGGUGUGAAUUGCAGAAUCCCGCGAAUCAUCGAGUUUUUGAACGCAAGUUGCGCCCGAAGCCAUUCGGCCGAGGGCACGUCUGCCUGGGUGUCACG
rnacentral:rRNA from 1 species